AUUGAACGCUGGCGGCAGGCCUAACACAUGCAAGUCGAACGAGUGGCGGACGGGUGAGUCAUGUAUGGGGACUGCCCGAUAGAGGGGGAUAACUACUGGAAACGGUAGCUAAUACCGCAUACUAUCGGAUAACCCAUAUGGGAUUAGCUAGUCGUUGAGGUAAUGGCUCACCUAGGCGACGAUCCCUAGCUGGUCUGAGAGGAUGAUCAGCCACACUGGGACUGAGAAACGGCCCAGACUCCUACGGAGGCAGCAGUGGGGAAUAUUGCACAAUGGGCGCAAGCCUGAUGCAGCCAUGCCGCGUGUAUGAAGAAGGCCCUAGGGUUGUAAAGCACUUUCAGCGAGGAGGCGUUACUCGCAGAAGAAGCACCGGCUAACUCCGUGCCAGCAGCCGCGGUAAUAC
rnacentral:rRNA from 1 species